UUUUUAAGAAUAAGGCCUAAUGCACGCGGCCGUGUUCCGUGGCAGAGAGCGGUCCGUGGUAUGCCGGGCUGGAUUCCUGUUCAGAGCAGGAGUGCACGGCGUCAUUGGUUGCUAUGACGCCG